GAUGGACGCUGGCGGCGUGCCUAAUACAUGCAAGUCGAGCGAACGGACGAGAAGCUUGCUUCUCUGAUGUUAGCGGCGGACGGGUGAGUAACACGUGGAUAACCUACCUAUAAGACUGGGAUAACUUCGGGAAACCGGAGCUAAUACCGGAUAAUAUUUUGAACCGCAUGGUUCAAAAGUGAAAGACGGUCUUGCUGUCACUUAUAGAUGGAUCCGCGCUGCAUUAGCUAGUUGGUAAGGUAACGGCUUACCAAGGCAACGAUGCAUAGCCGACCUGAGAGGGUGAUCGGCCACACUGGAACUGAGACACGGUCCAGACUCCUACGGGAGGCAGCAGUAGGGAUUCUUCCGCAAUGGGCGAAAGCCUGACGGAGCAACGCCGCGUGAGUGAUGAAGGUCUUCGGAUCGUAAAACUCUGUUAUUAGGGAAGAACAUAUGUGUAAGUAACUGUGCACAUCUUGACGGUACCUAAUCAGAAAGCCGCGGCUAACUACGUG
rnacentral:rRNA from 1 species